CCUACGGGAGGCUGCAGUGGGGAAUAUUGGACAAUGGGGGCAACCCUGAUCCAGCCAUGCCGCGUGUGUGAAGAAGGCCCUCGGGUGGUAAAGCACUUUCAGUGAGGAAGAACGCCUGGUGGUUAAGACCCAUCAGGAAAGACAUCACUCACAGAAGAAGCACCGGCUAACUCCGUGCCAGCAGCCGCGGUAAUACGGAGGGUGCGAGCGUUAAUCGGAAUUACUGGGCGUAAAGCGCGCGUAGGUGGCUUGAUAAGCCGGUUGUGAAAGCCCCGGGCUCAACCUGGGAACGGCAUCCGGAACUGUCAAGCUAGAGUGCAGGAGAGGAAGGUAGAAUUCCCGGUGUAGCGGUGAAAUGCGUAGAGAUCGGGAGGAAUACCAGUGGCGAAGGCGGCCUUCUGGACUGACACUGACACUGAGGUGCGAAAGCGUGGGUAGCAAACAGGAUUAGAUACCCUAGUAGUC
rnacentral:rRNA from 1 species